rnacentral:rRNA from 1 species
UACGGAGGAUCCAAGCGUUAUCCGGAAUCAUUGGGUUUAAAGGGUCCGUAGGCGGUUUUAUAAGUCAGUGGUGAAAUCCGGCAGCUCAACUGUCGAACUGCCAUUGAUACUGUAAGACUUGAAUUAUUUGUGAAGUAAACUAGAAUAAUGUAGUGUAGCGGUGAAAUGCUUAGAUAUUACAUGGAAUACCAAUUGCGAAGGCAGGUUACUAACAAUACAUUGACGCUGAUGGACGAAAGCGUGGGGAGCGAACAGG